AAAACAGAUCUGUUAAGCUGGUCCAAUUUUGUGUUGCAUUUCACCUCACUCUCUCUGGGGCACAAAGAUUUUCCAAAAGAUGCUUAAACAUUGUGUCCCCCAACAGAGCGAGAGAGAGAUCGGAAGAGAAAUCAAGAGGAGAGGAAAUAAAUUGGACACCCUGCGGCCCUCAGGAAAACCCUAGCUACAAAGCAAGAAGUUGUGGCAGGAUCUGUGGACUUCAAGAAUAUGUGACUCUGAGUCUAAUUUAUUCUGUGUACCUACUCACAGUCUAGGGAUGUCUUGGCCCGAUUGCAAUGCAAGGAAUAAAUUGUGGUGUUUUGUCGGGACUGGAGUGUUCUCUAUUCUCUUUGCCUGGCGUUAUCCUUGGUUAAAUGGUCCGCAUAGAAAACCUUUGUGAUCGCUUUCCUAUAACUCACAUACCAGACUGGAAUCACUCAGAACA